UACGGGGGGGGCAAGCGUUGUUCGGAAUUACUGGGCGUAAAGGGCUCGUAGGCGGCCAACUAAGUCGGAUGUGAAAUCCCCAGGCUCAACCUGGGAACUGCAUCCGAUACUGGAUGGCUUGAAUCCGGGAGAGGGAUGCAGAAUUCCAGGUGUAGCGGUGAAAUGCGUAGAUAUCUGGAGGAACACCGGCGGCGAAAGCGCGAGACUGGGCCAUAACUGACGCUGAGGAACGAAAGCCAGGGGAGCGAAAGGG
rnacentral:rRNA from 1 species